AACAGUUCCUGGCUGACUGCAGUCAACAAGUCCUCCCCAGCUGCCGGUGUCCUGGCGGAUCUUGGUUUGAGCAGUGACCUUUAUUUUCUGUAUUCACCCAGGUUGCCAGUUAGCGUGCGAUCGUAGCAGCUGAAGAUUCGAGUGAUGAGUGGCCUGCCUUGAGGGGUGCCUGAAUUGCCCCAGGUUUUGAGUGCUGGGUUGUCGAAAAUCAGCGAUCAGCAGUGUGGAGUUGAAGCCGGUGGUGCCACAGCUCAGCCCAAGUAGAGGCUAUCUUCCAGAGAAUGGUCAGCCAUGCGAGGACCAGUGACCACCAUCAGCUUGGACUGAAAACCUAGACUUCAGUAGUUGGUGUGGAAACAGUACUUACCUGAGGCUGAGAUUCAGAGCCCAUUCCGUUACCAGCAGUAGAACCAACAAAUGUGUUUUUGUCACUGUUGGUUUUCUAGUGUUACAAAGAUAUUUCUAGUUCUCCCUUGCCCAAAGAGCUUUCUGCACUUUUUAAUUUUGUAUAAAUUCUGUUGGGUGAGGGUCUGAGUUCUUAAGCUUAAAGCUUAUUUCUUCCUGAAAUUAGCAUUUCCAUGCAAUUACAAUAAACCAGUACUACAAUAAA